UGGGGAAUAUUGCACAAUGGGGGGAAACCCUGAUGCAGCGACGCCGCGUGAGCGAAGAAGUAUCUCGGUAUGUAAAGCUCUAUCAGCAGGGAAGAAAAUGACGGUACCUGACUAAGAAGCCCCGGCUAACUACGUGCCAGCAGCCGCGGUAAUACGUAGGGAGCAAGCGUUAUCCGGAUUUACUGGGUGUAAAGGGCGAGUAGGCGGAUUGGCAAGUUGGGAGUGAAAUGUCGGGGCUUAACCCCGGAACUGCUUCCAAAACUGUUGAUCUUGAGUGAUGGAGAGGCAGGCGGAAUUCCCAGUGUAGCGGUGAAAUGCGUAGAUAUUGGGAGGAACACCAGUGGCGAAGGCGGCCUGCUGGACAUUAACUGACGCUGAGGAGCGAAAGCGUGGGGAGCAAACAGGAUUAGAUACCCUGGUAGU
rnacentral:rRNA from 1 species